rnacentral:rRNA from 1 species
GACGAACGCUGGCGGCGUGCCUAAUACAUGCAAGUGGGACGCAAGGGAACACACUGUGCUUGCACACCGUGUUUUCUUGAGUCGCGAACGGGUGAGUAACGCGUAGGUAACCUGCCUAUUAGCGGGGGAUAACUAUUGGAAACGAUAGCUAAUACCGCAUAAUAUUAAUUAUUGCAUGAUAAUUGAUUGAAAGAUGCAAGCGCAUCACUAGUAGAUGGACCUGCGUUGUAUUAGCUAGUUGGUAAGGUAAGAGCUUACCAAGGCGACGAUACAUAGCCGACCUGAGAGGGUGAUCGGCCACACUGGGACUGAGACACGGCCCAGACUCCUACGGGAGGCAGCAGUAGGGAAUCUUCGGCAAUGGACGAAAGUCUGACCGAGCAACGCCGCGUGAGUGAAGAAAGGUUUUUCGGGAUCGUAAAGCUUCUGUUGUAAAGUCAAAGAAACGUGUGUG